GCCUGGAAUAGCUUAGUGGAGAAAAUGUUAGACUGAAGAUCUAAAGGUCCCUUGUUCAAUCCCAGGUUUAGGCA